GAGUGGUUAUAUGCCAGCCAGAAUAGUGAAGGCACUGAAGUCAAUGAGGGUUCACACUCCAGUCACUGUACAUGAACUCUCACUUGACCAGAAUGAUAAACAGCAGUCUGGGAAGGCACUAUAUCCUGUCCUGAGCAGCUUGGCAACUGAGACUCUGGACUGUCCACUCUGAUGAGCUCCACCUUCAUGCUGUCUUCAUGCUGUCUAUGAGAGCGGUUCUGUUGCGUUUGUGUCCGGCCUGUUCGGUUCAGUCGAAAACUUAUUCAACCUUCAGUGCAGAGAGCUGAACUCUGUCCUGCUCUUCAUGCUGUGGACCUUCUUACAACUUAAGUUCAUAUUAUAAAAAUAGAAACAUAAAAGUGUUAAAACAAAUGUCUACUUUGCACUUAUCCAUUACUCAUCACCAUAGUGCACUUGAAUUAGACACAUAACAACUGGUUUCUCAAGGGGGACUGUUUGUAUAGUGAAAUAAAAGUAUUAUAUGACCAGAAUCUGUCCUGACUGGUUUUUUUGUGUUCAGUUUGGACAGACCGCUGUUACUGAAACUGCUUCCCUGUUGCAGUGUCUCCGCUCUCCAGCAGGGGGCAUCAGUUCUGCUCUCAAGACAAGCUGGACUUCUCUUGUGGUUCCGCACUGGACCUGAGAGAAGACACACACACUGAGACUCUACAUCUGAUCGCUGAGGACUGCUGUGUGAUAUCCACAGUCAUCCAGAGAGCACACACACACACACACACACACACACCUACCUGUUAACAGGACUGUGAGAUUAAUACAGCAGGAAUGGAUCAGACCCUGGAUCUUCAACAACACAAUUCAGUUCAGAGAGGUUUUCUGCACAGACCCACGAUAUGAGAUCUGGCCAAUAAACUCUUUCUGCAAUGAGCUGACUGAGCUGCUGAAAUAGCCAAUCAGGAUCUUGAGAGGUGUGAAUACAGUUAAGGAAACAGGUGUGACCAACUGGACUCCCAAAAAAUAAUCACCCCAUCAGAUUGUAAUCACAUUCAUGUUAUAUUAUCAUAAUUUACAGCGUGUAACAGGUACAGAGAAAUUGUACUUAUCCUUAAAUAAAUGGGUUCUAUGUCAAAAUGUUUCGCUGAUUUUAUAGCUGUUUGACAAUUGAAUAUAGUUGUUUAUAGCUUUAUUGAGUCAAGUUCAUCCAUCUGUUGAUUGGUUAUAAUUAAAACACAUUGCUUAAGUCUGAUGAGAUGUCUCUUCACAAGGAUGAAUGACUGGAGUUGGAAUAUAUUGCAAGCAUUUUACACUGAAAUUAAUUUUGUAGGCUGUUUUAAAGAGGACCUAUUAUGCAAAAUUAACUUUUACAUGGUGUUUAUACACAUGUGAGUCGGCAGCACAACCACCCUACUAUAUUAAAAGUCCUCCUACUCCUCUAUCUUAUAUUUCUAUUCAUCAAAAACAGUGUGUCAAAAUGAACGGUUUUCAUUUCUGCUCUAAAGUGAUGUCCCAUUAGAGCAGGCCACG